rnacentral:tRNA from 1 species
UGGCUCAGUCGGUAGAGCAUGGCGAUGGCAAUGCCAAGUGGUUGUGGGUUUGAGUCCCAC